rfam:Ovis aries breed Texel chromosome 2, whole genome shotgun sequence.
UCCCUGGUGGCUCAGACGGUAAAGCAUCUGUCUACAAUGCAGGAGACCCGGGUUCGAGCCCUGGGUUGGGAA